rnacentral:misc_RNA from 1 species
UACGGAGGGUGCUAGCGUUAAUCGGAUUUAUUGGGCGUAAAGAGCGCGUAGGCGGGAUGGUAAGUCAGACGUGAAAGACCGAAACUCAACUUCGGGCCCGCGUUUGAAACUACUGUUCUUGAGGAUAGGCGGAGAAAACGGAAUUCCGUGUGUAGCGGUGAAAUGCGUGGAUAUACGGAAGAACACCGGUGGCGAAGGCGGUUUUCUAGCUUAUUCCUGACGCUGAGGCGCGAAAGCUAGGGGAGCAAACAGG